GGCCUGAUGGUGUAAUGGAUAACACAUCUCUGAACAGUAGCGGAUGAUCUGAACGCAAAAUGUUGUGGGAAAUUCCUCGUUCGACUCGGGGUCAGGCCG